GUGGGGAAUUUUGGACAAUGGGCGCAAGCCUGAUCCAGCAAUGCCGCGUGCAGGAAGAAGGCCUUCGGGUUGUAAACUGCUUUUGUACGGAACGAAACGGUCCUGGCUAAUAUCCGGGGCUAAUGACGGUACCGUAAGAAUAAGCACCGGCUAACUACGUGCCAGCAGCCGCGGUAAUACGUAGGGUGCGAGCGUUAAUCGGAAUUACUGGGCGUAAAGCGUGCGCAGGCGGUGCUGUAAGACAGGCGUGAAAUCCCCGGGCUCAACCUGGGAACUGCCAUUGUGACUGCAAGGCUAGAGUGCGGCAGAGGGGGAUGGAAUUCCGCGUGUAGCAGUGAAAUGCGUAGAUAUGCGGAGGAACACCGAUGGCGAAGGCAAUCCCCUGGGCCUGCACUGACGCUCAUGCACGAAAGCGUGGGGAGCAAACAGGAUUAGAUACCCGGGUAGUCC
rnacentral:rRNA from 1 species